AUAAAGCUAGGAGCGUAGGGGACCAAGCAAUCAAGCAAGCAAGCUGGGGUGGAGAAAAUGAGACUCCCCUUGGCUUGCGGCCACCACUACCCACGGCCCCUCUCGCCCCUGCCACCGCCGCCGAUAACAACUAAACGAACGCCGACUUCUCCAUUCCACCGCCCAAAGGCGGUCACCUCCGUCUCCUCCUCCCUCUCCGAUACAUCCUGGCGAUGCCUCCACAAGCUUCUACUCCGAGCGACGGCCGGAGCCCUCUCCUUCUCUCUCCUCGCUUCUCCUUUCCCUUCCCUCGCGGAGGCGGCGGGCCGGCCUGCCGUCCAGCUGUCGCGACCGCCUCCGUCGGAGCUCUGCCAGGACUGGGCGGAGGAGGAGGAGGAGGCGGAGGUGCCGCCGGAGUCGAUCACGAACGAGGGCCUGGUGGAGGAGGCCUGGGAGGUUGUCAACGAGAGCUUCCUCGGCGACGCCGUCAGUCGUUCCUGGUCUCCCGAGAAGUGGCUGAAAAAGAAGCAAGAUUUUCUUCACAAAAGUAUCCAAACAAGAUCUAGAGCUCAUGAUGCCAUUCAAAAGAUGCUGGCCAGCCUAGGUGACCCAUAUACACGGUUCCUUUCUCCUUCAGAAUUCUCAAAGAUGUCCAAGUAUGACGUUACUGGGAUUGGAAUAAAUCUGAGGGAAGUUCCUGAUGGCGAUGGUGCUGUCAAAUUGAAGGUGCUAGGGAUCGUAUUAGAUGGUCCUGCUCAUUCUGCUGGCGUGAGACAGGGGGAUGAGCUCUUAUCAGUUAAUGGUGUGAUUGUAAGAGGAAGAUCAGCAUUUGAUGUAUCCUCAAUGCUACAAGGUCCAAAGGAAACAUUUGUGACUAUAGAGGUUAAACAUGGAAACUGUGGCCCAAUCCAGUCAAUAAAGGUCCAGAGGCAACUUGUUGCUAGAACUCCAGUAUCCUAUCGUCUGGAGAAAAUCGAAAAUGGAGAUGUUUCAGUUGGAUAUGUACACAUAAAAGAGUUUAAUGCGUUGGCAAAGAAAGAUUUGGUUAUUGCACUGAGACGUCUUCUAGAUUCUGGUGCCUCUUACAUGGUUUUGGAUCUUAAGGAUAAUCUUGGUGGACUAGUGCAGGCUGGGAUUGAAGUUGCUAAGCUUUUCUUGGACAAAGGAGAAACAAUCACUUAUACUGUUGGCAGAGAUCCCCAGGUUCAGAAAAGUAUUGUUGCGGACACUGCACCUUUUGCUACCACUCCUCUCAUUGUCCUCGUGAAUAACAGGACUGCAAGCGCAAGCGAAAUUGUUGCUACAGCACUUCAUGAUAACUGCAAAGCGGUUCUGGUGGGAGAAAGGACUUAUGGCAAGGGUCUAAUACAAUCUGUUUUUGAGCUUCAUGAUGGAUCUGGUGUGGUAGUCACUAUAGGGAAGUACGCGACCCCAAAUCACUUGGACAUCAAUGGAAAUGGAGUAGAACCUGAUUUUCCACGCCUCCCAGCUCUUAGUGAAGUCAGAAAUUAUCUUUCGCGUUGCCAAACUCCAUGGAUGGGAUAAAUACAGAUCCAGACUUUUUGAAGCUUUGCUUGUAGCACCAUCAUGAGAUCCUGAGUUCUAGUCUUGGAUGUCUUGUUCUAUUUAGUUAAUCAUAAGAAGGAGGCCUCACGACUGGUCCAUCUCCUUGGCCGCCUUGUACCCUAAUGCCGUCUUCAACUAUAUUUAUACCGCGCACUCGUGUAUGCGACUCCAUGUCUCUUCAACUAGUCAAAUUUACGAGUGAGGCGCAUAUGCUAUUUGAAUGCAAACAAUUAUAGGAAAUUAUAUGCACAUCUAUUGGGCAGUGAAAACUAGUCAUUUGAGAUUGUGAGGUUAUUAACUUUCCAUUAGCUUCUGUCGUGCGGUUCAUGAAACAUCAGAUUUCAUUCUUCAUUUUUUGUUUGCUUAUGAAGUAUCAUCGCAAAAGAAGUGAGGAUUUAUCCACUCAUCCUGGUGCAUUGUUUGGAUACAGCUAGUCUGGUUGGCCACAACUUACAAUUUUCUCAGCAACAUUUGAAUCUGACAAACCGAUGAAAGUGGUCAUCGUGGCAGCUCCUUGUUUGCUAUCAGAUGCUGCAAAUGUGUUACAGCCAUAAUUUUCGAGCAGCACUGGAAAUCCACUUGAGGGUUGCAAGCAGUGGAUGCGCUCCUUCUCAUUCCUGCAUAUUUUUUAAGCACAGUUUGCUUUACACUGAGAAAUCACAAGCGUAUGUGCUGGGCCACAACAGUGCAACUUUUCAGACUUUGGCGAUCAUUUUCUGGAUGAGGUCGUUGUUCAAGUCUAUUUGUUUAGUUGUAAUGACACUCAUAUUAGUUGAUUGCACACUUUCAAAUUUGGCCU